rnacentral:rRNA from 1 species
GACGAACGCUGGCGGCGUGCUUAACACAUGCAAGUCGAGCGGUAAGGCCCUUUCGGGGGUACACGAGCGGCGAACGGGUGAGUAACACGUGGGUGACCUGCCUUCAGCUCUGGGAUAAGCCUGAGAAAUUGGGUCUAAUACCGGAUAUGACCUUCUGCCGCAUGGUGGGGGUGGAAAGAUUUGUUUGGCUGGAGAUGGGCCCGGGCCUAUCAGCUUGUUGGUGGGUGAUGGCCUACCAAGGCGA